UAGUGCUCACACACACACACACACACACGCAGCAGCGCUUUCCCCUUAAGUGAGGCGGCGUUAGUAACUGCAGUCCCGGCAUCCUAGGCUGGGGACCAGCGGCUACUGGCUGGUCUGUUAGAGGACCCUGGAGCCCAGUUUCCGAGGGACCCGGUGACACGCCGCUGUCACAACUAGUGACAGGCAGCUAUUUCUUCCCUGCUGCUUCCCCAGCUCCUGGCAAGAGGACACCCUCUUCCAAAAGCCAGGCAGCCUGGGGAGGAGGCUGCUCCCUGCAGAAGGUCAUGUGAGUGGUGUGUCCUUGGAAUGGAAUCUUGGAGGGAGGAAGAGAACACUCUCUUUUUGUUUUUCUUUUGCCAGCGAUGCCCAAUUCAACAAGCAACGUAAGAGAUCCAAAGAUGGAAUCUUAACCAGGCCUUCUGAGAAGGUGAAAGCCUUUCCUGGGUAGCCUGGUGAAUCAGUGUCUUGGGAGAUUUUCAAAACUAAAGGCCAGAUGAACACCAGAGAUUAAUUCAAAGAAGCAGUGAGAAUCUCAUUGCCUCUAACCUCCGGGGGCCACAGAGAAAUCUCUGCUGAGACAUAAAUACAGAGAGUGAGCCACCUAGUGGUGAUGAGAAGUAAUUUUGAUAUUAGCCAAGCCUUCCAAAUUGAUGGACAGGGUAUUGCUAAUUUUCUAUUAUGUUGCAAAAGGGUGUUGGUUUUGUGAAAGCUUCCUUUAAUAGUAUUUUCUGCUUCUAAAUCAGUCGUCCACUUAUAAUACAAUUUUAUUCACUUUAUGCUUGAUUCUUCUAACCUGAUGUGACCUAUAUAUAUAU